rnacentral:rRNA from 1 species
AACGAACGCUGGCGGCAGGCUUAACACAUGCAAGUCGAACGCAUCCUUCGGGAUGAGUGGCAGACGGGUGAGUAACGCGUGGGAAUUUACCCAGCUCUACGGAACAACUCAGGGAAACUUGAGCUAAUACCGUAUACGCCCUUUUGGGGAAAGAUUUAUCGGAGUUGGAUGAGCCCGCGUUUGAUUAGCUAGUUGGUGGGGUAAAGGCCUACCAAGGCGACGAUCAAUAGCUGGUCUGAGAGGAUGAUCAGCCACACUGGGACUGAGACACGGCCCAAACUCCUACGGGAGGCAGCAGUGGGGAAUCUUCUGCAAUGGGCGCAAGCCUGACAGAGCGGCGUCGUGUGAAGGAAGAAGGCCUGAAAUAGGUUGUAAACUUCUUUUACUGAGUAAUGAAUAAUGACAACGCAGUAAAAAAGUAUCGGCUAACUCCGUGCCAGCCGCCGCCGUAACAC